GACGAACGCUGGCGGCGUGCUUAACACAUGCAAGUCGAACGGUAAGGCCCUUCGGGGUACACGAGUGGCGAACGGGUGAGUAACACGUGGGUGAUCUGCCCUGCACUUCGGGAAAGCCUGGGAAACUGGGUCUAAUACCGGAUAGGACCACUGCCUGCAUGGGUGGUGGUGGAAAGCUUUUGCGGUGUGGGAUGGGCCCGCGGCCUAUCAGCUUGGGGGUGGGGUGAUGGCCUACCAAGGCGACGACGGGUAGCCGGCCUGGGAGGGUGACCGGCCACACUGGGACUGGGAUCCGGCCCAGACUCCUACGGGGGGCAGCGGUGGGGAAUAGUGCACAAGGGGCGCAAGCCUGAUGCAGCGACGCCGCGUGAGGGAUGACGGCCUUCGGGUUGUAAACCUCUUUCAGCACCGACGAAGCGCAAGUGACGGUAGGUGCAGAAGAAGGACCGGCCAACUACGUGCCAGCAGCCGCAGUAA
rnacentral:rRNA from 1 species